UUAAGCGACUAAGCGUACACGGUGGAUGCCCUGGCAGUCAGAGGCGAUGAAGGACGUGCUAAUCUGCGAUAAGCGUCGGUAAGGUGAUAUGAACCGUUAUAACCGGCGAUUUCCGAAUGGGGAAACCCAGUGUGUUUCGACACACUAUCAUUAACUGAAUCCAUAGGUUAAUGAGGCGAACCGGGGAACUGAAACAUCUAAGUACCCCGAGGAAAAGAAAUCAACCGAGAUUCCCCCAGUAGCGGCGAGCGAACGGGGAGCAGCCCAGAGCCUGAAUCAGUGUGUGUGUUAGUGGAAGCGUCUGGAAAGGCGCGCGAUACAGGGUGACAGCCCCGUACACAAAAAUGCACAUGCUGUGAGCUCGAUGAGUAGGGCGGGACACGUGGUAUCCUGUCUGAAUAUGGGGGGACCAUCCUCCAAGGCUAAAUACUCCUGACUGACCGAUAGUGAACCAGUACCGUGAGGGAAAGGCGAAAAGAACCCCGGCGAGGGGAGUGAAAAAGAACCUGAAACCGUGUACGUACAAGCAGUGGGAGCCUCUUUUAUGGGGUGACUGCGUACCUUUUGUAUAAUGGGUCAGCGACUUAUAUUCUGUAGCAAGGUUAACCGAAUAGGGGAGCCGAAGGGAAACCGAGUCUUAACUGGGCGUUAAGUUGCAGGGUAUAGACCCGAAACCCGGUGAUCUAGCCAUGGGCAGGUUGAAGGUUGGGUAACACUAACUGGAGGACCGAACCGACUAAUGUUGAAAAAUUAGCGGAUGACUUGUGGCUGGGGGUGAAAGGCCAAUCAAACCGGGAGAUAGCUGGUUCUCCCCGAAAGCUAUUUAGGUAGCGCCUCGUGAAUUCAUCUCCGGGGGUAGAGCACUGUUUCGGCAAGGGGGUCAUCCCGACUUACCAACCCGAUGCAAACUGCGAAUACCGGAGAAUGUUAUCACGGGAGACACACGGCGGGUGCUAACGUCCGUCGUGAAGAGGGAAACAACCCAGACCGCCAGCUAAGGUCCCAAAGUCAUGGUUAAGUGGGAAACGAUGUGGGAAGGCCCAGACAGCCAGGAUGUUGGCUUAGAAGCAGCCAUCAUUUAAAGAAAGCGUAAUAGCUCACUGGUCGAGUCGGCCUGCGCGGAAGAUGUAACGGGGCUAAACCAUGCACCGAAGCUGCGGCAGCGACGCUUAUGCGUUGUUGGGUAGGGGAGCGUUCUGUAAGCCUGUGAAGGUGUGCUGUGAGGCAUGCUGGAGGUAUCAGAAGUGCGAAUGCUGACAUAAGUAACGAUAAAGCGGGUGAAAAGCCCGCUCGCCGGAAGACCAAGGGUUCCUGUCCAACGUUAAUCGGGGCAGGGUGAGUCGACCCCUAAGGCGAGGCCGAAAGGCGUAGUCGAUGGGAAACAGGUUAAUAUUCCUGUACUUGGUGUUACUGCGAAGGGGGGACGGAGAAGGCUAUGUUGGCCGGGCGACGGUUGUCCCGGUUUAAGCGUGUAGGCUGGUUUUCCAGGCAAAUCCGGAAAAUCAAGGCUGAGGCGUGAUGACGAGGCACUACGGUGCUGAAGCAACAAAUGCCCUGCUUCCAGGAAAAGCCUCUAAGCAUCAGGUAACAUCAAAUCGUACCCCAAACCGACACAGGUGGUCAGGUAGAGAAUACCAAGGCGCUUGAGAGAACUCGGGUGAAGGAACUAGGCAAAAUGGUGCCGUAACUUCGGGAGAAGGCACGCUGAUAUGUAGGUGAAGCGACUUGCUCGUGGAGCUGAAAUCAGUCGAAGAUACCAGCUGGCUGCAACUGUUUAUUAAAAACACAGCACUGUGCAAACACGAAAGUGGACGUAUACGGUGUGACGCCUGCCCGGUGCCGGAAGGUUAAUUGAUGGGGUUAGCGCAAGCGAAGCUCUUGAUCGAAGCCCCGGUAAACGGCGGCCGUAACUAUAACGGUCCUAAGGUAGCGAAAUUCCUUGUCGGGUAAGUUCCGACCUGCACGAAUGGCGUAAUGAUGGCCAGGCUGUCUCCACCCGAGACUCAGUGAAAUUGAACUCGCUGUGAAGAUGCAGUGUACCCGCGGCAAGACGGAAAGACCCCGUGAACCUUUACUAUAGCUUGACACUGAACAUUGAGCCUUGAUGUGUAGGAUAGGUGGGAGGCUUUGAAGUGUGGACGCCAGUCUGCAUGGAGCCGACCUUGAAAUACCACCCUUUAAUGUUUGAUGUUCUAACGUUGACCCGUAAUCCGGGUUGCGGACAGUGUCUGGUGGGUAGUUUGACUGGGGCGGUCUCCUCCUAAAGAGUAACGGAGGAGCACGAAGGUUGGCUAAUCCUGGUCGGACAUCAGGAGGUUAGUGCAAUGGCAUAAGCCAGCUUGACUGCGAGCGUGACGGCGCGAGCAGGUGCGAAAGCAGGUCAUAGUGAUCCGGUGGUUCUGAAUGGAAGGGCCAUCGCUCAACGGAUAAAAGGUACUCCGGGGAUAACAGGCUGAUACCGCCCAAGAGUUCAUAUCGACGGCGGUGUUUGGCACCUCGAUGUCGGCUCAUCACAUCCUGGGGCUGAAGUAGGUCCCAAGGGUAUGGCUGUUCGCCAUUUAAAGUGGUACGCGAGCUGGGUUUAGAACGUCGUGAGACAGUUCGGUCCCUAUCUGCCGUGGGCGCUGGAGAACUGAGGGGGGCUGCUCCUAGUACGAGAGGACCGGAGUGGACGCAUCACUGGUGUUCGGGUUGUCAUGCCAAUGGCACUGCCCGGUAGCUAAAUGCGGAAGAGAUAAGUGCUGAAAGCAUCUAAGCACGAAACUUGCCCCGAGAUGAGUUCUCCCUGACUCCUUGAGAGUCCUGAAGGAACGUUGAAGACGACGACGUUGAUAGGCCGGGUGUGUAAGCGCAGCGAUGCGUUGAGCUAACCGGUACUAAUGAACCGUGAGGCUUAACCUU
rnacentral:rRNA from 1 species